GCAUUUAUUUCUGUAUGUUUUAUUGGUAAUCAUUUAGUUAUUGUUACACUUAUCACUUACGUGCUAAAGGAAAGUUCAACAAAUGCAAAAAACUGCUAGCACAUUAACGGAAACUGAAACUGUUCUCAAGCCGAUCAUAACAAAUAACAGUGAACUUAGGAUACAGUACAGUGGGGUGACAGAGUGGUUCGUAGAAUGAGAGUCAACUCAGUUAGGCAACUUGGCAAAGGCGCGAAAGAGACAGAGACGUCUAUACGUAUAUGAAUAUGUAUGUACGUAUGCAUGUGUGUGUGUGCCUGUAUGUUUGUUUAUGAUGUUGCACAAAUUGACAUCUAUAGAUGCAUGCUUAUGUAUAGAGUAUGUAUGCAGCUGUAUGUGUAUGUAUAUGAUAGAUAUAUCUAUGUAUUACUCAUCAUGUAUAUCUGGCCAAUCUGGGAAACUUGCUUGGCAUAUUUCAAUAGACAAUUACGUGGGUAUGUUUGCUUGUAUGCAUGUACGUAUGUAUCUUUAAAAUCGUAUGUCUUUCUCCAUUCUCCAUUGCACAUUGAACAUGACAUUGAUAUAUUUACUUCCUAAGCCCCAAAACGGCAAUGCGUCGUUAAGCUGUAGUAAAAAGUCCGACAAGACGAUGUAAACAACAUAAAUAUGUGUGUGUGUGUGUGUGUGUGUGUGUAUGUAACUGUAGUUAUUCGAAGCAUUACCGUUUUGGGGCUCUAAUCUUUCUAUAUUUUAUUUGGUUUCUUGGUUACAUCUUUCAUAUGUCUGAUUAUCAUUGAUAUUUCUCGUGGAUUUAUGUCUGAGGAAUACAAAAAAAUCAACACCUCUGCAAAUAGGG
rnacentral:lncRNA from 1 species